GAUGAAGAACGCAGCGAAAUGCGAUAAGUAGUGUGAAUUGCAGAAUUUAGUGAAUCAUCGAAUCUUUGAACGCACAUUGCGCCCCCUGGUAUUCCGGGGGGCAUGCCUGUCCGAGCGUCAUUGCAACCUUCAAGCGCGGCUUGUGUGUUGGGUCUCGUCCCCCGUGGACGGGCCCGAAAGGCAGUGGCGGCGUCCCGACAUGGUGCCCGAGCGUAUGGGAAUCCUCUUCCGCUCGAAUCGGCCCAUGCGGCGCUGGUCGUAACCAAAUUUUUUACCGGUUGACCUCGGAUCAGGUAGGGAUACCCGCUGAACUUAAGCAUAUCAAUAAGCGGAGGA
rnacentral:misc_RNA from 1 species